AUCCAUUACAAAUGAAUGGUGUCAUUACAAGGUGACACAUGAAUCAAAACUGUCAACAAAUAGAUUUUGUUUCCCCAUCAGGCAUCAGCAGAUUGUUCAGUUGUUUCGCAAUAGGGGUAGCCUUGAAGAUGCCAUUAUUGCAUAUUUAAAACGAUAUGGUAAUUGAGACAAAAACUGACUUAAUAUAUCUAUAUAUGAAAUUACAGUCGAACCCCUAUUAAGCGGACACCUUCGGGACCUCGCCUAAGUGUCCGCCUAAAAGGGGUGUCCGCUUAAAAGGGGUAUGUAGAAAAACACAGCAAGAGGCAAAGGUGUGUAAUUAGG